rnacentral:rRNA from 1 species
AGUGAACGCUGGCGGUAGGCCUAACACAUGCAAGUCGAACGGCAGCACAGUAAGAGCUUGCUCUUACGGGUGGCGAGUGGCGGACGGGUGAGGAAUACAUCGUAAUCUACUUUUUCGGGGGGGAUAACGUAGGGAAACUUACGCUAAUACCGCAUACGACCUACGGGUGAAAGCAUGGGAUCUUCGGACCGUGCGCGAUUGAAUGAGCCGAUGUCGGAUUAGCUAGUUGGCGGGGUAAAGGCCCACCUAGGCGGCGAUCCGCAGCUGGUGUGAGAGGAGGGUCGGCCGCACUGGAAGGGAGCCACGGACCAGGGUCCUGCGGGACGCAGCAGUGGGGAAUAUUGGGCAAUGGGCGGAAGCCUGGUCCAGCCGUACCGCGUGGGUUAAGAAGGCGUUCGGGUUGUAAAGCCCUUUUGUUGGGAAAGAAAAGCAGCAGGUUGAUACCCCGCUGUUGUGACGGUACCCAAAGAAUAAGCACCGGCUAACUUCGUG